UACGUAGGUGGCAAGCGUUGUCCGGAAUUAUUGGGCGUAAAGCGCGCGCAGGCGGUCCUUUAAGUCUGAUGUGAAAGCCCACGGCUCAACCGAGGAGGGUCAUUGGAAACUGGGAGACUUGAGUGCAGAAGAGGAAAGUGGAAUUCCAAGUGUAGCGGUGAAAUGCGUAGAGAUUUGGAGGAACACCAGUGGCGAAGGCGACUUUCUGGUCUGUAACUGACGCUGAGGCGCGAAAGCGUGGGGAGCAAACAGG
rnacentral:rRNA from 1 species